CCGAACGUUGACUUAAACAGCUGCAUAUUUGAAGAUGUCAUUGUGACAGGAGCUCCACGUUGUGCAAAGUUGAUCAAAAACUUUUGAUCUUGCACGUUAUGCUGUGGAGCAACAGGAGUCGGUGAUGGUGGUGGCUGCGCAGCCGGUGUUGGAGAAGCAGGUUGCUGAAUGGGAAUGAAAGUUGGAAUUGGAAUGUGGAUUGUCUGCGUUGGUGUGUUUGGUUGCGGCUGUGGAGGAGGAGCUAGAGGCUGUUGUGGUGGCUGUCAGUGAAAAAGAAAAAACGAUUUGGAUCAAUGAUGCUAUGUGAUUGUCGACUGAUUAACCGAUUGGUCAGAUGUGUAACAAGCUGGAUAUCAAAUGCGAAGGAGCUGUCUUUUCCUAAGUGAAAAGCUUACCGUUGGCAUUCGAGGCAAAUGAAACAAUCUCGUGAAAUGUCUUUGUCCAUUGGUUGUGUCCCUGAAAGACAUUUAGCAGAGAUCAUUUCUGACUUUUUGUCUACUGUCGUAGAAACAAUUGGAAGAAUGAGAUGAGGUUAUGGGUGGUUCUUCACAGAUUUAGAAUGUUACAAUGAAUUCAUGUUUUAAAAAAUGUGAAGCCAGAAACCAUGGUAAACAAUGUGAAUAAAUGGCAUUGAAUUGCUUUUUAAUUUAGGAUCUGAUAGGCAAAACUUUGAAUAUACAAUGAGCAUACAGGACCUAGACAAGACGUUGGUGACAAUGUGAGUCUAUAUCUUCAGUAGGUUUAUUCUGGUUCAUUAGGUCCUAGUUAAUAUUUGCGAUGAACGAAACAUAUACAAUAAACCUUUCCCUGUGUUUUAUAUGUUUUGUGGUUUAUAUUUUCUUGCCAUCUUGGUAUUUCACUAAAAAUCUUUAAACUUAGGCAUAUCACAUAACAUACGCAUGCAUCCAUAAGAACAAAUUACAGAGUAGCGGACUGCAGAGUAAUGACUUUGUCACACCAAGGCAACAGCAACAUACUGUCAACAUUUUAAACCUACAUUUAUAAUCAUAUCUAAUUUUCUGGGUUGUUCUCAAUAAUCUUACUUGAAUUUCAAAUUUUCUAGUAUGUAAGAUCACGUAUCGAGAAGAACUGCUCUCGCUAGAAAUAUUUAUAAUCAUCCAUUAUCUGUAUUUAAAAACUUCAAUCUGUUGAAGUCAAACAACCCAAACGAUAUGGGAAUUUUUAUUGCAGAUGAAGGAAUGAUCUGUGGAAACUUUUGAUAGAAAGGCAGCUGUUACCAAAUGAAGAAUGCAGAAAUGCAAAAAAUUGGACUAAUUGAGAAUAUUCACCUUGUAUAAGAAGCAAGAUUAAAAUUUCAACCUUUAAUGUCACAAGUUGUAGAUAACAAAAUAUAUUCAAAAUAAAUUCCUUUAAAAAAAGGGUCAUUUGGAAAUACUAUCACCUUACUCAAAGUGAGAGAAACAACUAUGCAAUUCUCAGAAUUACAAUCGGCAUCAGCUUAAAAGCAGACAUUGUAGAUUAUAGUCUACACCUAAAGUAUUGCAUCUUAUCGAAAAGCUCAAUUUUUUUUUCUGUAAGUGAGGACAUUGGCGUAGGAGACAAAGAAGCAGGGAUGACCAGCAGGGACGGCUGCAGCCCCCAAAAGCAAUUGGCCUUUCAAGCCCAAUACGAGCAGUCCUGUCUCAAUGAAGCAAUAAUAUUCAGGCAAGAUCAUUACUAAGACCCCACCCCCCUGCUACCCUCCAAAAAAUCUUGCAUACUCGACGCUAAAUUGUGACGCGGGAAAAUUUUAUGAUUAGAAGGGUGUCUACUCUUCUUUACACGUUGGAGGUUUUCCUGUGUUUUCUCCAUUAUUCGGCUUUGGUUACUUUCUUUGUUGGAAAAAACUUUCAAUAGGAACAUUUUUGAAAAAAAGGGAAAUCUGAAAAAUGGAGCCACUUUUUUAGCUCCUGGAAAAAUGGAGGCUGAUUUUAUCCUCUUUCCUUUAAUAUUAGAUAAAAAAUCAACGAAUAUUUUUACCAUUUCAGAAAAUUUGAAUCUAUAAUAUUGCCUUAUUGAAAUGAAGGUCCAAAUCAAGGCUUUUUAAGGGCACCUUCCUCAAAAACAGACCAUUAAAUUUAAUAGCAGAACGUAGUGCAGGAAUGCAAAUUGAAAAUACAAAAGAAAAAAAUUUUCUAAAAUUGUCAACAGAGUAGCAACAUUUUUGAGGAUUUCCAAUAUGGUCGAUGCUUUAGGCGGGGAGGGCUGUCACCCUUUGGCUAUCUCUUCUUACCCACAGAUGGGAUCUAUAGAAACCAAAAGAUAUUAAUGCAAAGAGAUGGCCUGGCUUUUGAAAGUUGAGAAGCCUUCCUCUCCUUUCUACUUUCUAUGCAUCGAUGUUAUUGGAAAUAUACACACAGGCAGUACUCUGUUCGUAAUUGUUCUCUCAAGUCACUGGGGACAUUUGCUAGAAAAGGCAAAGCCUUCAAAAACCAAUGUAUUCAUUCUACACAAUAAUGGCAGGAUAAGCUUGAAACUUUUCUCUCAAUCAUUGCCUAAGUUGUAUAAAUUCUACUUGCAGGUCUUCUUGGAAAGUGACGAUUCCGUUCAAGAGGGUUUGCCUGAUCAAAGCACACAUAUCUGGUAGGGCCGUGUCUUACAGCAUAAGCAUCGCUAUCGACAUCUCAGCUCGACCCAAGAACUAUAUGAUUGUAAAGCAUGUAAAAAGAGCCGGUCUUAAUCAGAUCUUAGCUUUUUGUUUUUCAGUUUAAGAGAAUACAAGUAAUCUUUAAAACUGAUGCACGUCUACCCCCACUGAACAGAAAACCAGCAUCGUAGCAUACCAUUUCCGAUUAACCGUUAAUCGCUCACCUCCAAAACUCCUCCAUUUGAAUGGCUUCAUUUUAAACAAAAGCGAUCUCCUUUUAAGAUCGACUAUGUUCUUAAUGACUACCCAGUUUGAGCGAGGAGAGAACCUCCCCAGCCAAGCCUCUAGCUUUACAAAUCGUCUAUUGAAUUUCUUUUGUUAAAUGUGAGAAGUCUUUGAAUUGGUAGUUUGCUCAAGAGAAGUAUUUUUUGUAGCUUCGUUAUUCAGCCGAUUUUUUCGUUGAAUUGUGAAAUGAUGAACUGAGACAUUAACCUCUUCGUGUAUAUUUUUCGUUUAUUUUUCCUGCUUUUCCUAACUUGGAAAAUUGACAGUUUUCGCAAGCCGGUCACUACAUUCCUUUCUUUACACAAAGAGAGCCUUUUGUCUCCGAUUGAAUAGGCAGUGUUUCAACUAAAUGUUGCAUUUCUGGCAAAAGUAUACAGUGUAUCAAUUUAUGCGUUAUACCACAGGAUGCAGGAGAUUGUGCCCGUUCUGUUGGUUUUUUCGCUGAGACGAUCGGACCAUUUUUGACAAAGUUAUUCGACUUUUUCUCAGUUUUGACCGAGGGGGAUUCAGGAUUGCACAAAGCAGUUCAGAAAAAACAAUAGGCUUGUGAUUCCCCGAGUUUGUAAAGAUCUCAGUUUUUGGUGAUUUACUCCUAAACUAAAAUAGCUAUGAAUUUCUAGUUUAAUUCAUGAGACGGGCCGUUCGAUGCUCGAUUUUUUGAGCCAUUCCCCGUAUUUUUAGGACCAGUUUUAGCCGAGUUAUUAAGGAUUUUGACUCGAAAAUCGCCAAAAAACGGUUUUUUGGACUUUAAAAAUCGAAAACAGCUGAUAAAAAUCUGCUGAUACUUUCUAAAAAUCGAGGCAAAAAUCACCUAAAUUCUGAUAUAUAGCUUUCUCUGUUUGAAGCUCGCGUUUCUUUUUAA